GGAGCCUUGCAUAUUUAUGUAGCUUAUAUCCACUUGUACACAUAUUUGGGAAAAUGAUUUUUUUUCUCUUAUUUGUAGUUACAUAUACCCAAUUAUUUAAAAUGGAAUGUAAGCUUUUUGAAAUGAGAUGUAAUAUCUUUCUUUUUGUUGAACUGAUUUCCCUUUUUUCAUUUGUAUAUUUGUGGUAAAUAAAACAUAAUUUUUGUCAACAAAUAAAACAUAAUCUAAUAAUGUUUUUAGCAAAGUUUUGAAUUCCUUAAAACCCU
rnacentral:lncRNA from 1 species